rnacentral:tRNA from 1 species
AGGGGUGUAGCUCAAUUGGUAGAGCAACGGUCUCCAAAACCGUAGGUCGUGGGUUCAAAUCCUGCCACCCCUG